CAGUACUUGGGCUGAGCCCGAAAUCUCGCGAGAUGCUGCAGGCGUCAGUGCGGCUUCCCACUAGGCGCGUGGUACCCGAGGCCGGGCCGGAGCCGCAGGCCAGCCGCGAUUCCUUCGGGCGAUGCUGGGGGCUUUCCGGUCGGGGCCGCAGCCGCUUCCGGAGCCGCGGGCGAGGUGCGUUCCCCAGCCUGGUUUGCUCUGGGCUCUGACCCGCCGCCGCGAAUCUCCGCUCGUAACUCCGGGCCUGAACCUGGAGGAGGGAGGAUUUCCUCUGUGCAGCUUUCGAGCGGUAGACUCACCCUGCCAGGCAGACCUAGAUUGGCAUAACCAGAGAUCAGUUCCAGUUGUGAUGCAGUGGGUGUCUACACACUUCUGAUGACACCUUUAUUUUAAAAGCUGAUGUUCCAAGGUGCAAGCGGUCUUCUCUGUCUUCUUUAUGGCCAGUAAAAUUCUCCAGAAGAGAUUUAUGGCAGCCUCACUCCCAGUAGUUUCUGCAUUUAGUGAGAUAAGUACCCUGGGAUGUCACUCAAGUCUCUUUUUAAACCUAUAUCCACUUCACCUCAUUUGGCUCUUUGCCUAUCAGAGGUGAAACAAAAGAGUGAAAUCUUUGCUUGUGG
rnacentral:lncRNA from 1 species